rnacentral:rRNA from 1 species
GGAUAAGUUAGAAAGGGCGCACGGUGAAUGCCUUGGCACUAGGAGCCGAUGAAGGACGCGACGAACCGCGAUAGGCUUCGGGGAGCUGUAAGUAAGCUUCGAUCCGGAGAUUUCCGAAUGGGGGAACCCACCAUCCGUAAUGGGAUGGUACUGACAUCUGAACACAUAGGAUGUCGAGAGGCAGACCCGGGGAACUGAAACAUCUAAGUACCCGGAGGAAGAGAAAGCAAAUGCGAUUUCCUGAGUAGCGGCGAGCGAAACGGAAACAGCCCAAACCAAGAGGCUUGCCUCUUGGGGUUGUAGGACACUCAACAACGGAGUGAUCAAGAAACGGAGUAGGUGAACUGUCUGGAAAGGCAGGCCGAAGAAGGUAACAGCCCUGUAGCUGAAACUUCGUUUCCUCCAGAGUGGAUCCUGAGUACGGCGGGACACGUGAAACCCCGUCGGAAUCCGGGAGGACCAUCUCCCAAGGCUAAAUACUCCCUAGUGACCGAUAGUGAACCAGUACCGUGAGGGAAAGGUGAAAAGUACCCCGGAAGGGGAGUGAAAGAGAUCCUGAAACCGUGUGCCUACAACUAGUCAGAGCCCGUUAACGGGUGAUGGCGUGCCUUUUGUAGAAUGAACCGGCGAGUUACGGUAUCGUGCAAGGUUAAGCUGAUGAAGCGGAGCCGCAGCGAAAGCGAGUCUGAAUAGGGCGCAUUAGUACGAUGCCGUAGACCCGAAACCGGGUGAUCUACCCAUGUCCAGGGUGAAGGUCGGGUAACACCGACUGGAGGCCCGAACCCACGCAAGUUGAAAAUUGCGGGGAUGAGGUGUGGGUAGGGGUGAAAUGCCAAUCGAACUCGGAAAUAGCUGGUUCUCCCCGAAAUAGCUUUAGGGCUAGCCUCGAGUGAUGAGUCUUGGAGGUAGAGCACUGAUUGGACGAGGGGUCCCCACAGGAUUACCGAAUUCAGUCAAACUCCGAAUGCCAAUGACUUUAACUCGGGAGUCAGACUGCGAGUGCUAAGAUCCGUAGUCAAGAGGGAAACAGCCCAGACCAUCAGCUAAGGUCCCCAAGUAUACGUUAAGUGGAAAAGGAUGUGGAGUUGCCCAGACAACCAGGAUGUUGGCUUAGAAGCAGCCAUCAUUGAAAGAGUGCGUAAUAGCUCACUGGUCGAGUGACUCUGCGCCGAAAAUGUACCGGGGCUAAACGUAUCACCGAAGCUAUGGCAAUCCCGUAAGGGAUUGGGUAGGGGAGCGUUCCAAGGACAGCGAAGCUAGAUCGUGAGGACUAGUGGAGUGCUUGGAAGUGAGAAUGCCGGUAUGAGUAGCGAAAAGAUAGGUGAGAAUCCUAUCCGUCGAAAGCCCAAGGUUUCCUGAGGAAGGCUCGUCCGCUCAGGGUUAGUCGGGACCUAAGCCGAGGCCGAAAGGCGUAGGCGAUGGACAACAGGUUGAUAUUCCUGUACCACCUCGUAUUCGUUUGAACGAUGGGGGGACGCAGAAAGGUAGGGUGAGCGCGCCGCUGGCUGUGCGCGUCGAAGCAUGCGAGGCUGGAACAUAGGCAAAUCCGUGUUCCAUAAGGCUGAGCUGUGACCGUGAAGGACCUUCGGGUCCGAAAUCCCUGAUCCUCCGCUGCCGAGAAAAGCCUCUAGUGAGAAUACAGGUGCCCGUACCGCAAACCGACACAGGUAGGCGAGAAGAGAA